CCUCCUCUCCCGCAAACCCUAACCUAACGGGUGCUGCGAGUGAUCAAUGGGGGCGUACAAGUAUGUGUCGGAGCUGUGGAGGAAGAAGCAAUCGGAUGUGAUGAGGUUCCUUCAACGGGUGAGGUGCUGGGAGUACCGCCAGCAUCCUUCCAUUGUUCGCGUCACGAGGCCUACUCGCCCUGACAAGGAAUGCUUUGAUAUUGACAUUGCACUGGAUAACAUGUCGUACUAGGUUCUUAUCGUUAGCAAUCACUUAGUUACUAGCUCUUGUUCUGUCUUUUUAGUCAUCCUCCUUUUCGACAUCCCCAACCUUUGGAUGUUAUCCUAUCUCAACAUCCGAACCAAAUUGUUUCACUGUUGGAGUAUGUGAGAUACAAUUUUCUACCACAAAUUCAGCUGUGUUCCAUAACAAUAACGAGUAUCCGUAGUUCUAGGAUUACUGUACAUGUGCAGGUGUGCUGAGAUCAAAUGCAGCAAAUGUCAUUAUUGCAGACUUUGCCCCAUGUCUUGAGUUAUAUUUUGAGGAAUUCCAGAUCAUAGAGAACACAAAAGACGAUCCUGGUGUUCUAAGAUUGCAGGUCUUGCGUGAGAACAUUUGUCAUCCAGCGCCAAAUAUUACACAUUUGCUACUCAAAUUUGAAGUAAAUGAUCCAGUAAAAAGGACUGUGUUGCAACCAAAAGAUCAUUACAGUUGUUUGAAGGUUGCCCUUGAUAAGUUGGAAAGACCAUCUCAACCAGAUAUAAAUUCCUUGUUUUAUGAGUUUAGUUUCCAGCUUCUUUACGAAUUAUGUUUGGAACCAUUGACCGCUGUGCCUGUAAUGGAUCGUUUGAGUGCAAAGAAGUACCAAUUCUUUUCGGUGCACUGAGAGACAACUGGAGUUGUGCCACUCCCUAAAAGGGCUAAAAAUCUGGCUCUUCGUGUCAGUACUGUGCAUCAGGGGGCGUGGCUGCUAAAAAAAAACAUUUAGUUUUGUUUCUAAUUUGCAGAUUGAUAGAGUACAUGCUGAACUGUCAACAGCAAAUAUUCCCAUGUUGAGGAAAGAGGCUCACACACUAUGAUGUGGAUGGAUGGUGUUCUGUACAAUCAUUUCAGAGAUUGAGCACUCUACAAGCUGAGGUAGGAUUGAUGUUUAAGAAUAAGCCACAAGUGUGGGAAAGUUGGUGCUCAGAUUCUUCUAUCGAUGGGUGUAUUAGAACAUCUGGCAUCAUCCAGGGCUGUUGACAUGCAAAUAAAAGGUAGUAUCUUUCUUCCCAAUUUCACCGAUUGAUUUGGUGUGUAGCCUUUUGCACUCGUUUCAUUAGGGACUUUCAAGCAAGGUGGCAAUGAAGUGGGAAGAGAUCCAAUCAGAAUUGACAAGCAGCAGUUGCUUGUGGCUCCAAUAUUGAGAUUGGUCUCAAGCUUGACAUCAUUGGUUCAUCUGAUUUAUUCGAGUUGCGGAAAACUACAAAAACAAUCUCUUUCUUCCAUAACAUUUCUGCACUGUGCGUGUGGAUAUGGCCUUAUUAUGCAUUUGAAAGCAUCUCCAAAAUUCUGACACCAAGCCAAACCAUCUUCUUUUUUUUCCCAAGGAUUUUGGAAUAUUUGAAGAGAAAACCAACACUUCCUCUCAUUUGUCCCAGUAUGAUAUAUAGGUGCCCUGCAAGAACAAUUUCUACUCUGGCUAAAUAUCAUUUCUUAAUGAGAUUUAUUGGUUCUAUUGUUUUAAGUGGUUUUAGACCAAUUUCAAACCGGAAGUGUUGUGCUUUAGGUUGUUGAUGAGCCAAGCUUGAAUGAGCUCAAGCUUUGCUUGAAAUAAUUGUUGCCUAGCUCUCUGGCAUGGCUAGAAUGAGAAGAGUUGGAGUCAGCUAGCUCGAAUUUGACUUGCCAGUGUGAUUUGAACCCAGCAUCUUUCAAUUACAUUGGCAAGCUUAGCCAUCCCAUCUAAGUUCUCAUGUAUCUAGAGUAAGAUGAAUUGCAUGCAACUAAAUUUAAGUUUAUGAUAUGCAAUGCACAGAACUAUUUUGAGCUGAGCUUGAUUGCACCAAGCUAUCAUUGAGCUCAGCUCUAAUUUGAGUUCAAACUACAAAAUUAAGUCUCGCUUGGCUUGUUAUUAGAUGGUUGACUUGAACAUUGUUCAUAAAUUGCCCUGUUUUGUUUCCACCCGAUUUCGCUUGCAAAAUUUCUGAAUAGUGACGUAGUUUCUUCCAAAGAAAUAAGCAGGGGGUGGUCUUGAUAUAACAAAACCAACAAGCUUACAGAACCAUCUGUUACCAUAAAAAAAAAUCAUGUCGCUGUGCCAAACAGCCACAAGACAAGGCUAUGAACUUGUUUACUAGCAAACCAAUUUAUGAACUUGUUUUCUUGUUUCCUCUUGAUGUGCAUUUUGACCAAGAAAAAGUCAAUUUUACUCUAGAAAAACUUCAACGGUUGGAUUUGUAGUAUAUAAUUAUUUAUUGCUUGAUUUAUUCAUCAAAUAAAAGAAACAUCUUAUAUAAAUAGCUUUUCUAUCAUACUACAAACACAAGGGAGUUCGAUAACCUUCUUGGUGAUAUUCAUCAUAAAAUUCUUGUUAUUUUCUAGUCUUUAUUCUUGCAUCACCCUUGAAAUCCAUCAUGCUCUAAUUUUCAAAAUUUAAAUUGGGAAAAAAAAAUUAACUUGGGUUGACUAAAUUAAGAAACCAAACUUAAAAUUUUAUUUCGCUAUAAUUGAUAUUUAUUAAUUUUAAUAAAAAUUGUUUAUUUUUAAAUAAAGUUAUUGAAUAUUAUAAAUUUUUAGUAAGAUGAUUGGUCUGGUUGGGAAUUGGAAGUAAACCAAAUGCAAUUGGUGUUGUUCGCAAUUGGAAACAAAGUUAAUAUAAGUUUUUAAUUGAUUUUUUCAUUCCAUGUUAAAAUACUUAUUGCUGACAUUAAGAAAACAUUACCUACUUUGAUAAGAGAACCACUAUUGAUUUUAUGCUUAUCAUCUUUAAGUUCCUCUUUGUAGACUAGGAGAGCCAAUUAUUAGAGAUUUGGUGUCUGGUGUGCUUCAAUUUGCUUCUUAGCUGAUUAAGGUUGUAAAUUUUGUAGCAGAACUUCAUUUGGUUAAUGCGCUAUGAUUAACAUUUUUCAUAUAUUUUUAUUUUGUUAUUUGUGACAUCAUUGUAUUAACCAAAUUAUAUGUUGUUAAUGUCAAUUGUUCUGAGUGCCAUCUUAUUCAACAUUCUCUUGACAAUGUUUUGACAUUAUUGCUAGUUGUUAUUCCUGAGAUCCAUUUUCACUGAGGAUGCAUUGCUUAGUAUACAAAAUGGAAUGUUGGUAUUGUUACAACUGUUAUGCUUUAUAGGAUGCAUUGCUUAACAGUAUCUGCUUUGUGUUGUCUAAAGGCAAUUUAAAUUCUCUCUUCCACAUGUGAACAAUUGCUCUAUAGGUUUCAUUUAUCUAAAAUAUCUCUCUCUUAGCUGUGUGGAUUAUUUCUUACUGUUGCCUACUGAAGCAUAAAUUAUUUUCGAGAUUAUUGUUGAAUUUUAUUUGUUUAUUGUUGGGAUUGAAUUCUAGCUUAAGUUAGUUUUCAUAUAUAAAGGUUCAUAUAUGGUCUUUAAUUAGAUCCGUUUAAAUUUGUGAAAGCUCUCAAUUGCGCUUUUCAAGGACUUAAUGAUACAAUAUAACCUAGGCAAUCACCCCGGAAAAUCUAAACAAUCGCAAUCAGAAGAGGAGGACAUUGUGCUAAGAAAUUGAUUCAUUCAUUGACUAGAUUUGGCAUACUUUUGCAAAUCAAAAUAUGACAUUACCAAACUAUCCCUGAUGUAUGACUUCUUUAAAAUAUAGUUGUAAUUGCUAGACUAGUUCUAUAUCUAGACUAUGUCAAAUAAUAUUGUUAGACCUUAUUCUCACGUUAUUACUACUGACAUUCUCUUGCGAAUAAAGGUUUAAUAUUGCUGUUGUGUUUCCAACUAAAGGUUUUCAGGCGCCUUCAAUUGUUUUCUAUCUCGGGUUGGAAGUUUCGUACUGGCAAAUGGCCAAUGUGUUAGCUAUGCAAAUUUAUAAAAAGCAUUCAUAAACAUGUUUUCUUGAUGUUA